ensembl:lncRNA
GGAGUGUAAAAGGCCAGCAUUUUGGGAGGACAAUUUGGUCACAUCUUCUCAAAUGAAAAUGUGCAAUACCUUAAACCAAAAAAUUCUACUUCCUACAAACAGGCUGUUCAAGGAUGUUUAUUUUGCAUUGUUUAUAAUAGCAACACAAAUAUGUAAAAUAAAAUAAACAACCCAAAUGUCUAUCAACAUGGAAAAGGGUAAACUAUCACUAUUCAGCAGUUUAGAAAUGAGGUCGUCCUAGAUACAUUAAUAUGGAAAGUUCUCCCAAGAUUAUAUUGUUACGUGGAGAAAGCAAAUUGCAAAAGCAUGAAUAUACAGGAUACCGUUUAUGUUAACCAAUUGUGUUAACUCAGAUGAAACUCAAAUUACAACAAAGCAAAUUAGGCAAAAAACUGUCGGGAGAGAUGCACGCAGCAAACAGUUCCAACGUCAUCUUUGGGGCGGGCUCUGGGCCCGGUGGCGGGGAGCAGGUGGCCAUGUGGGAGGACUUCUGCUGCAGCUGUAAGUUUCAUUGUUCUAAAUAACAGAACAUGUUCAUGUAUUAUUUGUGCAAUUAGAAUAUAAUCAAAUACAAAUAUGAAGGAUUUUAUUUGGUUUGAAGCAAAGAACAGGCGUACGUGUGAAAGCACCUGCUGGGUCUUCAAGAUGCCUAGCAUGAAUUCCUGGGCUGCUUCCCCGGUCACAAAGGCCCCCGGAGGCAGAAAGAAGAGAGCUCAAGUCUCUGCCCAGUCAUGAGAGGUACCUUGUUCCCAGGGCAGAGGAUGAGCGUAUGUGUGUGUGAGAGAGACAGAAAGAGAGGUGUUGAUGUUUGCUUUCUGACCCUGAAACAUCAGUAUCCAGAUUUUUCCACACUAUGCUGUCCUCUGUGCCAGCAGGAGCAAGGAUGAUGUGGCAUUUCUGAGAGCAACAUCCAUCUUUUUCUGGAGUGUAUUCCAUGCCACUGAUUCCCAUUCUGCCAAGUUUGCCGCUGGCACUUUCUAGAUCUCACCAGAAGGUGUCAGCAGAACGUUUCAGACACCGUUCAGGACUCUGGUUUCUUCCUCCAAAGGUUCUUAAGGGUUUGUGGACAGAAACAUUGAGAGGCUGAGGCCAUCCAGUCAAGCUGUUAGGAGUGACACAUGUAGGAAGCGAUAUUAAAUUCAGGGUUGCCACCUAGCCAACGGAAAGUUAAGACUGCCAGUGGAGAGAUAAGUCCUGAUUUCUGAAAUAUUGAGGUAAAGUGUACAUUUCAAAACUGAUCAAAUGUAGUACUUCUCUCCCAUCAAUUCCCAACAGCCAGUGAAGUAAUUAGUCUGUAGGGAAUCCAGGGAGACGGGAAAGGGCAGUGCAGUCUUCUCGUCACCCAUCACCCCUCAAAUGAGGUCGAUGCAGUGGAGGCAACCUCAAUCCAAAUUUAUAGAUGCCCAGAGAGGUAAGUCAAUUCCCCAGGAUCACACAGUCAAUGAAUGGCAGAGUCAGGACUUGAACUCAUGACCUGUGGCUCUGAAUCCAGUGCUUACUCUAUUCUGCUACAUGUUCAAGGGAGCUUUCUGGAGGAGGGUGCUUGGGGCUGGGCGUUGACCAUACGGCAUGUUUGGCCCUUGUGAACACCUGAGGGGGCCCAGCAUGGUUCUCACUGUUCACAGGACCAGACACUGUUGGGCCAGGAGGGGACGGGCCAUGGUAUGCUUCAGUUCUGUUUCAGCUCUGAACUGCUGAUGUCUUGCUCUGGACCUUCCUCUCUCCGAGCCGGAGUGCAGGAAAGAGUGUGUCAGACUCUAGGGUCGCUGACAGGCCUCCCAGUUCUGGAGCUCUGUGACCGAGUGACUUCCAGAAAGACAACUGUGUGAGACUGUGAAGCCUUGUUUCUCCGCUGGUCGGCUCAAGGAGCCUCGUGGUAGUGCUGGACUAAGGACUCUGGGCCUCACCCUGCCUGAGGACUCUGGACUCAGUGGGUGCAAAAGACUGUGUUGCUGAAGUUCACUGAACUGCACCUGGCCUCAGGGGAAGUGGACGCUCAGUCCUCAGAGACCAGGGAAUACCUGUGAGCAAAAGCCUUUGGCCUUGGAUUGCUGAGCCCACCUUCUGAGAGCCCAGGAUCAUGGAGGAAGAACCUAGGAAUAGAGAGAGCAAGGUCCUUGUCAGCCAGGAAGCAUUCUGUGGAGGAGCCUAAAGGCGUUAGCAUAAGAGAAGCACCAGCCCAGCGAGUGGUCCUGUUGUGGACUGUACGAUUCCUUCCAUGUCUGAUAUCCCUCCAACAGCCCCUCCCGAGUAGGAUCGUGCUUCCCACCCGUUGGUAGCAGGCUUGGCAAUGUGACUUGUUUUUACUAAAGAACUCUGAGUGGAAGUGAUCUGUGCUUCUUCCAAGAGGAAAACAGUUCUUCACUUUCUUUGUCCCAAAAGAUUCACUCUUGAUUGAAAGCACAAGUUCCCUGUCUUUGGGCUUCCUGGGCAUCAUCAUUUGUGGAAACGUCCAUUUUGUGUGCCAUAGGAGGGAGAGCGUUGAAGAGAGGAGAGUGAUGAUGAUGAUGAGAAGAGAUGACUGCUGCAUUCCCCAACAGUCCUUACGCCAGGCUGGGCUGAGGGCCUGCAUUCAGCACAUUGUUUUGGUGAAUUCUUCCAACAAUUCAUGAGGCGGGCACAGCCAGCUGGACUGUGCGCAUUAUGAGGGCAGGGCUCAUUUACCGCAGCAUCCGGUCAUCUAGAGCAAGGGAUAGCACAUAGUAGGAGCUCAAUAAAUAUUUGCUUUAAAAAAGGGAUAUCAUUAUCAUCCACAUUUUUAAAAUAAUGAAACUGAUGCUCGGGAGAUUAGGAGACUUGCCUGAGGCCACACAGGUUGUAGGUGGCAGAACCGGAGUGGGAACUCAGAUCUCUGGGACACAAAAGGUUGCAAUCUGUCUUUGGGGAUGGAAAAAUUCAGCCUUUCCUCAACGGCCAAGAUAGACAGGGGAGAGGUGUUAGAGAAGGUGGCACUUUGGAAAGGUACCGGAAGAACUUAUCAACAGAGUGGGCUACAUAUUUUUUAAUGGAUUGUGAUUUAGGCUGCACAUCAAUUUUGGAAAUCUUGCAGCAGUAUUUUCCAAAGGUGGCCACAUGUGCUCUGUUUACAAUGUUACACAGACUUGCCUCCAUCGAGAGGUGGGGCCUGGGUUCCCUCCCCUUGAAGACAGGUAGACCUCAGUACCUGCCUUGACCAACAGUGUGUGACUUCUGAGAUCAGUCCUACAAGGCAACACAGCUUUGUCCUGCACCUCUCUUGGAACACAAGCCUUGGAAGUCUGAGCUGACUGGUAAGAAGUCUGGCUCCCCUGGGGCUACCAAGCUGG